rnacentral:siRNA from 1 species
UCCGAAAAGGUAUCACAUGCCA